rnacentral:pre_miRNA from 1 species
CAACUACUCCCUCUGUCCCAAAUUUCUUGUCUUAGAUUUUUCUAGAUACGGAUGUAUCUAAUACUAAAAUGUGACUUGAUACAUCCGUAUCUAGACAAAUCUAAGACAAGAAAUUUGGGAGGGAGGGAGUACUUU